UCCUUUUAAUUAGGAGUUAAUGGGAAUUAGGGUUAGUAUACCAAGUCUGCAGUAUUCUUAUCUUCUUUUGUGUUUCCAAUUGGGCUUGAACCAAAUUUAGGGCCCAACCCUUAUUUCCUUCGAGGGGUCACUUGAGUGUGUCUCAUUCUGCCAUUUUUCUUCUUCCUCAUCUCACUCAAACCAGAAGUUUGAAGCUUCUGCCUUUCUCUCCACCGCGAACGAACCAUCAUUGGGGGCGAGGAUGAUCUGCCUCUUGAGAAGCGGCAACGAUCCCACAACGGCGUUGACGGAGCGAACUCCUUUCUUAUCGGCGAGAGCGCGGCGACGGUGCGACGAAGGCGCAGUGAGGACACAACGUUCUCUCCACAGCAGUGUGCGUCGUAGUAACGGCUCUCCGAGACUCCGAUGGCAUUCUCGUAAAUCUGUGGGUUACUGUUUUCACGUUUGGGUUGUUUUUAUCUUCCUUGCAGGGCUGGGUUUUCUUGAUUGGGAUUAGGGUUCCGAUUGAGGAAUUUAGAGUUUUGAUUUGGGAAAAAUUAAUUUGGGUUCUAAUGCUUGCGAUUAUUAUAUUCUCGCGGUGAUUGUGAUGGCAGUGGUUACCGUUUCGUGGUGGUUGUCGGAGUUGCAAAAGUGGUGCAGCCAUGGAAGUUGCGGUGAGUGGUCGUCGACUUGGCUUGGCCAAGGAGUGUUGCUCUGAUUGACCAUUCUGAAACGGCGAAGUUCUUCUUUGGGCCGGGAGUGAAUCUGGGUUGAUACAGUGGGAACAUAAUUGGGCCGCAGGCCCAGAGUUGAACAUAAAUGAAAUUAUUAAAUUACAAUAAUAAGAAUGUUUAUUUGGUCCUAGUUUGAGAUGUGUAGACUUCGUGAUUAUAUUAAGGUAAAAAAUACCUUUUCUUGUCCCAGUUUUGGUUGGUAACAGUCAAAAUGGUUCCCAUUUGUUUUUUCUGUUCACUUUAGUCCUGAAAAACGUAAUUUAUGUUCAAUUUAGUCUUUUUUCUGUUCAAUGUAUUCCUAAAGAACAUAAUUUGUGUUCAAUUUAGUCCUUGAUUGUGGUUUACGAAGUUUGUAAAAAGGACUAAAUUGAACACAAAUUACGUAAAACAAACUAAAUUGAACACAAAUUACGUUUUUUAGGACUACAUUGAACAAAAAAGUAAAAUGAGGACCAUUUCGAAUAUUUCCAACUAAAAUUGGGAAAAAAAAGGUAUUAUACCUUAUAUUAACUAAUAAAGUUAAAUUGUAAAGAGAGAGAAGAAGAUAGUAAUAAUAUUAAUUAUUAUUAUUAUUAUUAUAAGGAGAAAUUUAUUGGUUAGUAAUUAAUUGGAAUCAGAUUAAUUACUGGAAAAGAGAAAGUAAAUUGGAGUAAGAAGGAAAGUAAUUUAUUGGAAAUCAAAUUAAUUAAAAUUAACUAUUUUGGAAUUUGAAAUUAAUUUACUUUCAAAAAGAGAAGUAGUGAUAAUUUAAUGAUUAAUUAAAGUAAUAAUGAGUUAUUAUUUUGGAUUGAGUUGUGGUUCUUAAAGUAUUAUAUAAAUUUAUAUUGUCCUUAUAUAAGACUUUAUAUUGAUGUGUAAGUAAUGAAAAGGGGGGUGUGAAUAGUAUUUAGUUUGACUAUGGAUUGUGUUUGGUUGACUUUGUUAGUAUUGUACACUUGAAUAAACAGAUGUGUCUAUCCUGUGCCUAGUAAAUCCUGAAUUUUGAACUAUCUACCGUAUGAUUGUGAACCUGUAUGGGGAAG
rnacentral:lncRNA from 1 species